CUUUUAAAGGAUAAAAGCAAUCCACUGGUUUUAGGA
rnacentral:tRNA from 3 species